AGUGAACGCUGGCGGUAGGCCUAACACAUGCAAGUCGAACGGCAGCACAGUAAGAGCUUGCUCUUACGGGUGGCGAGUGGCGGACGGGUGAGGAAUACAUCGGAAUCUACUUUUUCGUGGGGGAUAACGUAGGGAAACUUACGCUAAUACCGCAUACGACCUACGGGUGAAAGCAGGGGAUCUUCGGACCUUGCGCGAUUGAAUGAGCCGAUGUCGGAUUAGCUAGUUGGCGGGGUAAAGGCCCACCAAGGCGACGAUCCGUAGCUGGUCUGAGAGGAUGAUCAGCCACACUGGAACUGAGACACGGUCCAGACUCCUACGGGAGGCAGCAGUGGGGAAUAUUGGACAAAGGGCGCAAGCCUGAUCCAGCCAUACCGCGUGGGUGAAGAAGGCCUUCGGGUUGUAAAGCCCUUUUGUUGGGAAAGAAAAGCAGCAGGUUAAUACCCCGCUGUUCUGACGGUACCCAAAGAAUAAGCACCGGCUAACUCCGUG
rnacentral:rRNA from 1 species